rnacentral:rRNA from 1 species
AAAGAUGCGCUAAUACCGCAUAAUCUCUAAGGAGAAAAGCAGGGGAUCGCAAGACCUUGCGCUUUUGGAGCGGCCGAUGUCUGAUUAGCUAGUUGGUGAGGUAAAGGCUUACCAAGGCUUCGAUCAGUAGCUGGUCUGAGAGGACGACCAGCCACACUGGGACUGAGACACGGCCCAGACUCCUACGGGAGGCAGCAGUGGGGAAUUUUGGACAAUGGGGGCAACCCUGAUCCAGCCAUGCCGCGUGAGUGAAGAAGGCCUUCGGGUUGUAAAGCUCUUUCAGCCGGAACGAAAAGGUUACGGUUAAUACCCGUGACUAAUGACGGUACCGGAAGAAGAAGCACCGGCUAACUACGUGCCAGCAGCCGCGGUAAUACGUAGGGUGCGAGCGUUAAUCGGAAUUACUGGGCGUAAAGCGUGCGCAGGCGGUUUUGUAAGUCAGAUGUGAAAUCCCCGGGCUUAACCUGGGAACUGCGUUUGAAACUACAAGGCUAGAGUGUGGCAGAGGGGGGUGGAAUUCCACGUGUAGCAGUGAAAUGCGUAGAGAUGUGGAGGAACACCGAUGGCGAAGGCAGCCCCCUGGGUUAACACUGACGCUCAGGCACGAAAGCGUGGGGAGCAAACAGGAUUAGGUACCCUGGUAGUCCACGCCCUAAACGAUGUCAACUAGUUGUCGGGUCUUAACGGGCUUGGUAACGCAGCUAACGCGUGAAGUUGACCGCCUGGGGAGUACGGUCGCAAGAUUAAAACUCAAAGGAAUUGACGGGGACCCGCACAAGCGGUGGAUUAUGUGGAUUAAUUCGAUGCAACGCGAAAAAUCUUACCUACCCUUGACAUGUACCGAAGCCCGCCGAGAGGUGGGCGUGCC